CUUUGGGGAGAAGCCUGUCAUAAACACGAAUAAGAAUAAUAGGUUAAGACUGUGAAUAAAGAUAAGAAAACUGCAGCUCACAACCUGAAACCUGGGUAAAAAAGACAAACAGGAAGGAAUGAUUCAUCUUUCUGAGAACUCACAUGGCAUGUACCUGAGCUGUCUUUUACUUAAAAUACACUUUAGCCACUCUGGCAGGAAAUCAAUGUAAUGGCAGUCCUGUUGAGCUGCACUCCAGCAGAUCAAACAUAUAAUCAGAUCUACAGAGUUUCAGAAUAAUGGAAUCGGAAAUGUCUCAAAGGAGUUUGCAGCUGCUGUUUGCGUCAUUUUGGUUUUUUUUUUUUCAUGUUGUUCCUCAGACUCUUAAAUUAUGAAUGAACAGGCAUUGAUUUAUGAUGCCUUAUCCUGGUAUGACCUGCAUGGUUCCUGGUAUAUGAGGGGGAAAAAGGACGCUUGACUGCCACAUGGUAUUUGCCUGAACAAAGACACUUUUUGUUGGUCUGUAUAAAACAGGGAUAAAAGAGCAGGAAAACAAGACAAGAAAAGGAAGGUAGUGGAAAAAAGGAGUGUAAGAGGAGGACAGAAGAGGUGCUAGGUGGGGUGCAUACUACAAGUCAAUUGUAACUGAUUUAGAGCCAGAUCCCCCCUUGUGAGAAAAGUCAGCAAAGGCCAGAUUAUUGGAUGGUUUUAAAGGUUACCUUCUGAGUUUAUCCUGGGGUGUGAGGUGUAUGAGGAGUGAAUUUUCUAGCCUUCCAAUCUGUGCAGAAGACUAUCGAGCCUCCCUGACUGUGAAUCGUAGAUAUUAUGUUCAAUAUUUCCAAUCAGAAAUCCUUAUGUGUUUGGCGAUGCCCAAAUACCACCAAGCAUGCAUGCUGUCCUUCGUCAUGUGUAAGAAUUCAGAGCCAAUCGGGAAGUGAACUUACUGAAGAGUGAAGCACAACAAAUGCUACCACAUGUUACCUUCUUCAGCUCUGUUUUUAACCGUAGUAGAAAGUGGCUGCUUGACUUGUUUAUCCUGCUAACAAACAGUCAAGUAACCUCAAAGGCAGCAGAGGGAGAGACAGUAUACUUCUGAUUAGUGCAUCUUUAUUCUCUAUACACUGUAACAGGCCUGCCAACAGAACAACUCCCACAUUAACCGAUGGUCACCUUCUUAAAGGGACAGGCUCAGCUGGUAACACAGCACAGCAAAGAUGCUACUUCAAGCAGAGCCACCCGUGUUUUACACAUUCUAUGAUUUUAAAUAGAAAGUCUUUGUGCUUGUGGUGUGACCGUUUAAAUAAAGUCAGUUAAAUGAGAAAUAACUGCAGUACCAGCUACUGCCAUAAGAUGGGGCCUCUUUUCUGUGUUAUUGCAAGACUCCAUGUCAUAUUGCUCUCACCGCUGACUCGAUCUAGUCUCAUAAAAACAAAGGUAAUCUGUGAUUUGAGUUUAACUUUAAGUGCACAUUUUUUUCCUCUUCUUUUCCUGGAUUUCUGGAUGCAGUAGGUGUCCUGAUAUGAUUGUCUGGACUCCAGCUGCUCUCUUUGUUCCUUGUACGAUCCAUCAGUAAACGUUUUAUCCUUUGUUGCCUGUGAGUUCUGCAGAGUCUGUCCUCAUGCUUAUAUCCACAAUGUCCCAAUCACAGUCUAGUCUUCAUAAUAUUUCUUCAUCUGUUUUUGCCUAGAUAACAAUACCCUGUCUUUACACUGCAUUGAACUGAAAAUUAACCAUGACCCUUUGCUCUCCCAUCAUCUCUGCCACACUCCUGUUACACUCUCCUUAGCAACAUUCAGAGAAACCCAGAUGUAUUCUCAGAUCAUGUCUCUUUUUUCAGUAUUCUCAGUUGCCUUGUUGGCUGCUUCAUUCCCCAGCAUGGACAGGGACCCACAGAGAAUCUACUAUUCUUGUGGUGUGUUCAAUUCUGUACAACAGAAUUAAAAAUUCAACAAGUCCUGGCUUGAUUUCCCAAUUUUGUCUCCUUGGGUUGUCAAAAACUGAAGCAGAAUCUCAACAAAUAAUCACUUUAAAAAUGGGCUCUUUUGAAUGACUGUGUAUGUGGUUUUUACUGCCUGUCUCAAGUGGACACCAGUUAGCACACUGGCUUCAUUUCUCAGGAACAGAGGUUCUGCUUGUGCCUGGCUGGUAGAAAUAAAAAAUGUUGACAUUGGAAGUUUUUCUUCAGACCACUCCAAGACACCAGUUAGACAUUUUGGAUCUACCCCUUUCAGCUUGUCACUGUCGAGUUGUCUCCCAGUUACACAUUACAACAAAGUGCACUAGCUCGGGGCUAACAGUAUUUACACAGAAUAAUAAAAAGACCAUAGUUUUUGCAGCUUUAUACUGUUUGCAUGUACGAUUUGAAAGUUUACUCUUUUUGAUUCCCUUUCUUUGUCUGUAACACAUAUUCAAUUUCUGGCCCAAAGCCCGGCC
rnacentral:lncRNA from 1 species